rnacentral:sRNA from 1 species
ACGAAAAAUAUAUUUUUUCCAGUUUCGUUGGCCUCGAAUUUGAAGUUUCAAUUAAAUAAUCAGAUUUAAUCACACAGGCCGAACAACACAAAAAUUUUAUCGGUCUGAAUAGCAUAUAUAUUUUAAAGUUUAGCUUCUUUGGCUCGCAAACAUUACGAAAAUUCUUUGAUAAAGGAAAAAAAUCAAUUUAAGAAGUGCAUUCAAUUAACAGAAGCUUGGGUCUAUGCGUGCACUAUUAAAUCGAUGGGGUCCUAACUUUUGCAACAAUUUCUCUACUCAUUCUAAGUGGAAUACAUGCUCCAAGCUCACCAUUCCAUAUGGAAUAAUUACGUGUGUAUACGAUUUCUUUUUUGUUUCAUUGCCUUUCCUUGUGUUCGGUGUACUAAGACGAUUGGAGAAAAAGAAGAAAAGAUGACGAUGGACCCAUAAAGACGACAAAAAUUUAAUGUACUAUAAUUGAAUAAAUCAAUUGACCCCAUGAUCCCAUAUGUUGAUUCUAUGGGUCUUUGACAUUAUUGUUA